rnacentral:rRNA from 1 species
GACUUGGAGGUUGUGCCCUUGAGGCGUGGCUUCCGGAGCUAACGCGUUAAGUCGACCGCCUGGGGAGUACGGCCGCAAGGUUAAAACUCAAAUGAAUUGACGGGGGCCCGCACAAGCGGUGGAGCAUGUGGUUUAAUUCGAUGCAACGCGAAGAACCUUACCUGGUCUUGACAUCCACAGAACUUUCCAGAGAUGGAUUGGUGCCUUCGGGAACUGUGAGACAGGUGCUGCAUGGCUGUCGUCAGCUCGUGUUGUGAAAUGUUGGGUUAAGUCCCGCAACGAGCGCAACCCUUAUCCUUUGUUGCCAGCGGUCCGGCCGGGAACUCAAAGGAGACUGCCAGUGAUAAACUGGAGGAAGGUGGGGAUGACGUCAAGUCAUCAUGGCCCUUACGACCAGGGCUACACACGUGCUACAAUGGCGCAUACAAAGAGAAGCGACCUCGCGAGAGCAAGCGGACCUCAUAAAGUGCGUCGUAGUCCGGAUUGGAGUCUGCAACUCGACUCCAUGAAGUCGGAAUCGCUAGUAAUCGUGGAUCAGAAUGCCACGGUGAAUACGUUCCCGGGCCUUGUACACACCGCCCGUCACACCAUGGGAGUGGGUUGCAAAAGAAGUAGGUAGCUUAACCUUCGGGAGGGCGCUUACCACUUUGUGAUUCAUGACUGGGGUGAAGUCGUAACAAGGUAACCGUAGGGGAACCUGCGGUUGGA